rnacentral:rRNA from 1 species
AUGGACAACCCGCCACGACCACGCCGGAUCAAUGAUCAGAGGAGCAGCACCAGCUUCUACCUCGCCAGGGCGCGACCUCUUCACUCGCCGCCCCGUCCUCCGGCGUCUGGUCUGGCAAUUUCUGCGCGUGAACCGGCUGCCCCGUCAACGAGGACACCGGCCGCCUCGCAUGAGCCACCACCGACUAUGGCACCGGCUACGUCGCCCGCGAAGGCCGUUGGCAAGAUGUCGGUCGCCAAUAUGUGGCCGCGCGAGGAAGGGGCGAGCAGCUCACCUCGAGCACGCAUGCGUGCUCGGACGCGCCGACGCUAG